rnacentral:tRNA from 1 species
GCCAGUGUAGCUCAGUUGGCUAGAGCAGCUGUUUUGUAAACAGCAGGUCGUCGGUUCGAAUCCGACCACUGGCU